AUACGGAAGGUCCGGGCGUUAUCCGGAUUUAUUGGGUUUAAAGGGAGCGCAGGCGGAGAUGCAAGCGUGACGUCAAAUUUCGGGGCUCAACCCCGUCUCGCGUCGCGAACUGCGUCCCUUGGCUGCGGGAAGGGGAGGCGGAACUCGUGGUGUAGCGGUGAAAUGCAUAGAUAUCACGAAGAACUCCGAUCGCGAAGGCAGCCUUCCGGCCCGUCAACGACGCUCAUGCUCGAAGGUGCGGGUAUCAAACAGGAUUAGAUGCCCUGGUAGUCCGCACAGUAAACGAUGGACACCCGCGGUUUGGCCUAUAUGGCUGAGCCGCCAAGCGAAAGCGUUAAGUGUCCCACCUGGGGAGUACGCCGGCAACGGUGAAACUCAAAGGAAUUGACGGGG
rnacentral:rRNA from 1 species